GCCGGGUGUGGUGGUGCACGCCUGUAGUCCCAGCUACUCAGGAGGCUGAGGCAGGAGAAUCGCUUGAACCCGGGAGGCCCAUGUUGUAGUGCGCUGCGAUCAUGCCAUUGCACUGCAGCCUGGGCAACAGAGUGAUACUCCGUCUCAA
rnacentral:SRP_RNA from 1 species